rnacentral:rRNA from 1 species
UACGUAGGGGGCAAGCGUUACCCGGAAUUACUGGGUGUAAAGGGUGAGUAGGUUGAUCUGUAAGUCAUAUGUGAAAUACCGAUGCUUAACAUCGGGGCUGCAUAAGAAACUACAGAUCUAGAGUACAGGAGAGGUAAGCGGAAUUCCUAGUGUAGCGGUGAAAUGCGUAGAUAUUAGGAAGAACACCAGUGGCGAAGGCGGCUUACUGGACUGAAACUGACACUGAGUCACGAAAGCGUGGGGAGCAAACAGG